rnacentral:rRNA from 1 species
AAGUCGUAACAAGGCUCUCCGUUGGUGAACCCAGCGGAGGGAUGCAUUACCGAGUUUACAACUCCCAAACCCAUGUGAACAUUACCUCUAUGUUGCUUCGGCGGAGCCGCCCCGGCGCCCGGAACCCCCUGCGGUCCCGCGGCCCGGAACCAAGGCGCCCGCCGGAGGCCACAAACUCUUCUGUUUUUACAGUUUCUUCUGAGUGUGCCGGCAAGGCAGUAUACAAAUGAAUCAAAACUUUCAACAACGGAUCUCCUUGGUUCUGGCAUCGAUGAAGAACGCAGCGAAAUGCGAUACAGUAAUGUGAAUUGCAGAAUUCAGUGAAUCAUCGAAUCUUUUGAACGCACAUUGCGCGCGCCAGAAUUCUGGGCGGGCAUGCCUGUUCGAGCGUCAUUUCAACCCUCGAGCUCCCCUUUCGGGGGGGAGCCCGGCGUUGGGGACCCGGCGCUAAACAACGCCGGCCCCCGAAAUGGAGUGGGCGGCCCGUCCGCGGCGACCUCUGCGUAGUAACAACCACUCGCACCCGGGACCCGGGCGCGGCCACGCCGGUAAAACACCCCCACCUUCCGAAUGUUGACCUCGAAUCAGGUAGGAGUACCCGCUGAACUUAAG